GUGCUUACAAAAUGUUAAUGGAAGUUCACUUUUCAGGACAGUCUCUGCAGACUACUUUUGCUCAGUAGGUGGCAGCUAAAAUGGAAAAAGGAGAAGAUGGAUGUGCCAGGCCACCAUGGACAGCUACAGAAGACGGACUUAAACACCUGCUUCUUUCUGCUUAGCAAAAGCCACCAUGGAACUGAGGAGGUAAAAAGGACCUUUCCUUGGAAAAAAAUUGUGUGAUGAGUGAAGUGUUACAGGUGACAAGGAUCAUUCCUUGGAAGUGUGUCUUUCUUUCCAAGGAGAUGGCAGGUAAACUUCUGAGUCCGAUUCCUAGAUUUCCUCCCCUCUCCCUCACCACCAAUGAAAAAG